UACGUAGGCAGCGAGCGUUGUUCGGAGUUACUGGGCGUAAAGAGUGCGUAGGCGGUUUUCUAAGUUUGGUGUGAAAUCUCCCGGCUCAACUGGGAGGGUGCGCCGAAGACUGGAAGGCUUGAGUAUGGGAGAGGUAAGCGGAAUUCCUGGUGUAGCGGUGAAAUGCGUAGAUAUCAGGAGGAAUACCGGUGGCGAAGGCGGCUCUCUGGGACGGUACUGACGCUGAGACGCGAAAGCGUGGGGAGCGAACAGG
rnacentral:rRNA from 1 species